AGUGAACGCUGGCGGCGUGCCUAAUACAUGCAAGUCGAACGGAGAGGCGCACGGGUGAGUACAGUAUAGCUAAUCUUCCCUACACUAGAGGACAACAGUUGGAAACGGCUGCCAAAUCUCGAUAGUGUAGCAGUAGGCUAGAUUGUAGCAUCUAGUUGGUGAGGUAAUGGCUCACCAAGGCUAUGACGCAUAACUGGUCUGAGAGGAUGAUCAGUCACAUUGGAACUGAGACACGGUCCGGACUCCUACGGGAGGCAGCAGUAGGGAAUAUUGCUCAAUGGGGGAAGCCCUGAAGCAGCAACGCCGCGUGGAGGAUGACACUUUUCGGAGCGUAAACUCCUUUUGUUAGGGAAGCGGUACCUAACGAAUAAGCACCGGCUAACUCCGUGCCAGCAGCCGCGGUAAUAC
rnacentral:rRNA from 1 species